AUUGAACGCUGGCGGCAGGCCUAACACAUGCAAGUAGAACGAGUGGCGGACGGGUGAGUAAUGUCUGGGAAACUGCCCGCUUGAGGGGGAUAACUAAUGGAAACGGUAGCUAAUACCGCCUACCAUCUGAUGUUCCCAGAUGGGUUUAGCUUGUAGGUGAGUUAACGGCUCACCUAGGCGACGAUCCCUAGCUGCUCUGAGGGGAUGACCAGCCACACUGGAACUGAGACACGGUCCAGACCCCAACGGGAGGCAGAGGUGGGGAAUAUUGCACAAUGGGGGCAAGCCGGAUGCAGCCAUGCCGGGUGUAUGAAGAAGUCCUUCGGGUUGUAAAGUACGUUCAGCGGGGAGGCGUUACCCGCAGAAGAAGCACCGGCUAACUCCGUGCCAGCAGCCGCGGUAAUUC
rnacentral:rRNA from 1 species